UCAGCCCAGCGCCGACCGACACCCGCAGGUCCUUUCCCUCCGCACAGCCUUCCAGCCGCUCUGCCCCAAGCCUGCAGCGCUGUGUGGGGUUGUUGUGGCCCAAGUGCAGGACCCGGCACUCGGUCUUGUUGCACUCCAUCCCAUUGGCCUCAGCCCAGCCAUCAGCCUGUCCAGGUCCCUCUGUAGGGCCUGCCUGCCCUCACGCAGAUCGGCACUUCCCCCAGUGUGGUGUUUGCAAACUUACUGGGGAUGCACUCAGUGCCCUCAUCCAGAUCAUUAAUAAAGGUAUUAAACAGGAUG
rnacentral:lncRNA from 1 species